rnacentral:rRNA from 1 species
CCUACGGGAGCGCUGCAGUGGGGAAUAUUGGACAAUGGGCGAAAGCCUGAUCCAGCCAUGCCGCGUGUGUGAAGAAGGCCUUCGGGUUGUAAAGCACUUUCAGUGGGGAAGAAAGCCUUGGGGCUAAUACCCUCGAGGAAGGACAUCACCCACAGAAGAAGCACCGGCUAACUCCGUGCCAGCAGCCGCGGUAAUACGGAGGGUGCGAGCGUUAAUCGGAAUUACUGGGCGUAAAGCGCGCGUAGGCGGUCUGAUAAGCCGGUUGUGAAAGCCCCGGGCUCAACCUGGGAACGGCAUCCGGAACUGUCAGGCUAGAGUGCAGGAGAGGAAGGUAGAAUUCCCGGUGUAGCGGUGAAAUGCGUAGAGAUCGGGAGGAAUACCAGUGGCGAAGGCGGCCUUCUGGACUGACACUGACGCUGAGGUGCGAAAGCGUGGGUAGCAAACAGGAUUAGAUACCCCAGUAGUC